UACGGAAGGUCCAAGCGUUAAUCGGAAUUACUGGGCGUAAAGCGCGCGUAGGUGGUUUAUUAAGUUGGAUGUGAAAUCCCCGGGCUCAACCUGGGAACUGCAUCCAAAACUGAUUCACUAGAGUACGAUAGAGGGAGGUAGAAUUCACAGUGUAGCGGUGGAAUGCGUAGAUAUUGUGAAGAAUACCAAUGGCGAAGGCA
rnacentral:rRNA from 1 species